rnacentral:rRNA from 1 species
CGGCACGGGUGAGUAACACGUAAGUAAUCUACCUUCGAGUGGGGAAUAACGUCCGGAAACGGACGCUAAUACCGCAUAAUGCAGCGGCACCAAAUGGUGACAGUUGUUAAAGGAGCAAUUCGCUUGAAGAGGAGCUUGCGGCAGAUUAGCUAGUUGGUAAGGUAACGGCUUACCAAGGCUACGAUCUGUAACCGGUCUAAGAGGACGGUCGGUCACACUGACACUGAAUAACGGGUCAG